rnacentral:rRNA from 1 species
CCCUUAGAUGUUCUGGGCCGCACGCGCGCUACACUGAUGCAUUCAACGAGUCUAAAACCUGCUCUGAUAGGGGUGGGUAAUCUUUUGAAUGUGCAUCGUGAUUGGGAUAGAUGAUUGCAAUUUUUCAUCUUCAACGAGGAAUGCCUAGUAAACGCAAGUCAUCAGCUUGCAUUGAUUACGUCCCUGCCCUUUGUACACACCGCCCGUCGCUCCUACCGAUUGAAUGAUCCGAUGAAUAUCAUGGAUUGAGGAUGUAAGCAGGUUCGCCUGUCUUCAUCUUCGAGAAGUGAAGUAAAUCUUAUCAUUUAGAGGAAGGAGAAGUCGUAACG